UCGGAUCGCAGGCUGCAACCCGCCUGCGUGAAGUCGGAAUCGCUAGUAAUCGCGGAUCAGCAUGCCGCGGUGAAUACGUUCCCGGGCCUUGUACACACCGCCCGUCACACCAUGAGAGUCGGGAACACCCGAAGCCCGUAGCCUAACCGCAAGGGGGGCGCGGUCGAAGGUGGGUUCGAUAAUUGGGGUGAAGUCGUAACAAGGUACC
rnacentral:rRNA from 1 species